rnacentral:rRNA from 1 species
GUGGGGAAUAUUGGGCAAUGGGGGAAACCCUGACCCAGCAACGCCGCGUGAGGGAAGAAGGUUUUCGGAUUGUAAACCUCUGUCCUUGGUGACGAAGGAAGUGACGGUAACCAAGGAGGAAGCCCCGGCUAACUACGUGCCAGCAGCCGCGGUAAUACGUAGGGGGCAAGCGUUGUCCGGAAUGACUGGGCGUAAAGGGCGUGUAGGCGGCCGAUUAAGUCUGGAGUGAAAGUCCUGCUUUCAAGGUGGGAAUUGCUUUGGAGACUGGUUGGCUUGAGUGCGGAAGAGGUAAGUGGAAUUCCCAGUGUAGCGGUGAAAUGCGUAGAGAUUGGGAGGAACACCAGUGGCGAAGGCGACUUACUGGGCCGUAACUGACGCUGAGGCGCGAAAGCGUGGGGAGCGAACAGGAUUAGAUACCCGGGUAGUCC